GUAUGCGCAAUCCCUGCUCUAAAUAUAUACACACACAGAGAGAGAGAGAGAAAGAAAGAAAGAAAGAAAGCAACAAGAGGUU
rnacentral:ribozyme from 14 species